AAGAUUAAGGCCUGAACAGACACCAGC
rnacentral:piRNA from 1 species